rnacentral:lncRNA from 1 species
GCGAGAUCUCACAUCCGCGAUCCGACCCGACCGGCAGCGAUGGCCGGCAAGGAGCUGAGCGAGGAGCAGGUUGCGUCGAUGCGGGAGGCCUUCUCCCUCUUCGACACUGACGGCGACGGCCGCAUCGCCCCCUCGGAGCUCGGCGUCCUCAUGCGUUCCCUGGGUGGGAACCCGACGCAGGCGCAGCUCCGCGACAUCGCCGCCCAGGAGAAGCUCACGGCCCCCUUCGACUUCCCGCGCUUCCUCGACCUCAUGCGCGCCCACCUCCGCCCUGAGCCCUUCGACCGCCCGCUUCGCGACGCCUUCCGCGU